CGAGUCUGCCUUGAAGAUCGGAGUGCUUGCACUCUGUGAAACAAGAUACAGGCUAGCGGCGGACGGGUGAGAAACACGUGGGUAACCUGCCCAAGAGAUCGGGAUAACACCUGGAAACAGAUGCUAAUACCGGAUAACAACAGAUGAUGCCUAUCAACUGUUUAAAAGAUGGUCCUGCUAUCACUCUUGGAUGGACCUGCGGUGCAUUAGCUAGUUGGUAGGGUAACGGCCUACCAAGGCGAUGAUGCAUAGCCGAGUUGAGAGACUGAUCGGCCACAUUGGGACUGAGACACGGCCCAAACUCCUACGGGAGGCAGCAGUAGGGAAUCUUCCACAAUGGACGCAAGUCUGAUGGAGCAACGCCGCGUGAGUGAAGAAGGGUUUCGGCUCGUAAAGCUCUGUUGUUGGUGAA
rnacentral:rRNA from 1 species